rnacentral:lncRNA from 1 species
CCCUAUCUCUCCAUAACAUGAGAUUCCAUGCUUCAAAUCUGGUGUGCACCCUCUCCUCUCUUCCGUGAAAAGAAAUAAGGGGCGUCUCUCUUUUUUGGUGGUCGUCCAAGAGUUGGAUGCCCCAACAUCCACAGCCAACCCCUUUUUCUCUUUCCCAUCUUGAUAUGAUUUUGUAAGGCUUUGCUUGCUAGUUUUUGGG